rnacentral:lncRNA from 1 species
GAUCCAAUAGAACAUUCAGCCUUUUCAUUCACAGAUUUCUUUUACACAUUUCAACAGCAAACAAUCAAUAAUUCUCACAAUUAAAUGAUCAAAUCCAGAAAUCACUCAAUGAAACUCACAACAGCACAUACACGUCUACACGAUCCAUCAAGUGUGCAUACAAUCAAAAAGAAAUACACAUGCACCAAAACAUGGUGGCAACAUCAACUAAAACUAUUGUGCACAUCUCCAGGCUUCUUCUGAUCAUGGUCACAACAGCAGCCACCUCAACAACAUUAGAUCCUGAUCUGCAUAAAUUAUAAGAUACAAUGGAAGUUAAAUGAUUGCCAAUAAAAAAAUAUCCAUUCAAGAGAAUAAAAAUUACACAUAAAUGCCCAAAUACCUCAGUUCAGUAAACACUAGGCAUGGCAUGGCAAAACUUCCAAAACUUGACUACAACACAUCAACCUGAUGAUGUUCUACUAAGACAUUCAACACACCAACAAUACUAGCAUACAGGUACCAGCACAUCUACUAGCUACUAGUGCAGGUCAUGCAAUGAACAUCUACUGGCUACUAGCACAAUUGCACAAGCAAUAGAAGCAGCAGCAGCUACUAGCACAAUUGCACAAGCAAUAGAAGCAGCAGCAGCUACUUAGCACUGCUAGCAGUAACUACUAAGUACUAACUAGUAGCAGCCAAUAGCUAGCAGCAGCGAAACUUACACUGUAGUAGCAAAACAGCAAUAGUACAGGCUACAGCUAUAGCAUCAACAACAACAGUACAUCUACAUCUAGACUCCAGGGAGCAUCAACAGCAGCAGUACAUCAAAUGAUACCUUGUUGUGAUAAAUGACACCUUGUUGUGAUGUAACAGCAUGGUACAACUGACUUGCUUCCAGAACAAAGUGUGGAUUAUAUAGAAGAGUAGAGAUCUGUGUCCCUUGGAAGCACAUCAAAUGUUAAAAAUCUGGACUGGUUAAAUAAUAAUUGUAUUCUUCUCUACAAGCACAUAUGAGUAGUUAAUAAGUACUGAUCCUAUCAAGUAUGGCAGGCUUGCAACAUGGAGAUGCAUACAUGACUGAGCACUAACAUAUUAUGGUAUGACCGGGGCUAUACCUGUCCAGGACAAUGCGUGUUGCAUCCAAGAACCAGGUUCUGGAUCAGAGCUACAUCGAUGUUGCAUGCAGCAAUUUGCGGGCGGCCUGUCGUGAACAUGAACAUAUUAUGUGAGGGAAAGCGGAUACUUCGUCUA